rnacentral:rRNA from 1 species
UACGUAGGGUCCAAGCGUUGUUCGGAUUUACUGGGCGUAAAGGGCGCGUAGGCGGCGCGGUAAGUCACUUGUGAAAUCUCUGAGCUUAACUCAGAACGGCCAAGUGAUACUGCAGUGCUAGAGUGUGGAAGGGGCAAUCGGAAUUCUUGGUGUAGCGGUGAAAUGCGUAGAUAUCAAGAGGAACACCGGAGGUGAAGACGGGUGGCUGGGCCAACACUGACGCUGAUGCGCGAAAGCCAGGGGAGCAAACGGG